ACUACGGGGGGCAGCAGUGAGGAAUAUUGGUCAAUGGGCGGAAGCCUGAACCAGCCAAGUAGCGUGCAGGAUGACGGCCCUACGGGUUGUAAACUGCUUUUAUACGGGAAUAACGCGCCUUACGUGUAGGGCUUUGCAUGUACCGUAUGAAUAAGGACCGGCUAAUUCCGUGCCAGCAGCCGCUGUAAUACGGAAGGUCCGGGCGUUAUCCGGUUUUAUUGGGGUUAAAGGGAGCGUAGGCCGCAUGUCGAGCGUGCUGUGAAAUGUCCGGGCUCAACCCGGGCCUUGCAGCGCGAACUGGCGUGCUUGAGUCCGCGGAAAGCAGGCGGAAUUCGUCGUGUAGCGGUGAAAUGCUUAGAUAUGACGAAGAACCCCGAUUGCGAAGGCAGCUUGCUGCAGCGGAACUGACGCUGAUGCUCGAAAGCGCGGGUAUCGAACAGGAUUAGAUACCCGGGUAGUC
rnacentral:rRNA from 1 species